rnacentral:rRNA from 1 species
AUGGACGAAAGUCUGACGGAGCAACGCCGCGAUGAGUGAUGAAGGUUUUCGGAUCGUAAAGCUCUGUUGUUAGGGAAGAACAAGUGCGAGAGUAACUGCUCGCACCUUGACGGUACCUAACCAGAAAGCCACGGCUAACUACGUGCCAGCAGCCGCGGUAAUACGUAGGUGGCAAGCGUUGUCCGGAAUUAUUGGGCGUAAAGGGCUCGCAGGCGGUUUCUUAAGUCUGAUGUGAAAGCCCCCGGCUCAACCGGGGAGGGUCAUUGGAAACUGGGAAACUUGAGUGCAGAAGAGGAGAGUGGAAUUCCACGUGUAGCGGUGAAAUGCGUAGAGAUGUGGAGGAACACCAGUGGCGAAGGCGACUCUCUGGUCUGUAACUGACGCUGAGGAGCGAAAGCGUGGGGAGCGAACAGGAUUAGAUACCCUGGUAGUCCACGCCGUAAACGAUGAGUGCUAAGUGUUAGGGGGUUUCCGCCCCUUAGUGCUGCAGCUAACGCAUUAAGCACUCCGCCUGGGGAGUACGGUCGCAAGACUGAAACUCAAAGGAAUUGACGGGGGNCCCGCACAAGCGGUGGAGCAUGUGGUUUAAUUCGAAGCAACCCG